rnacentral:rRNA from 1 species
AAUAGAUACCCGGGUAGUCCACGCCGUAAACGAUGGAUACUAGCUGUUCGUCCGCCUCGGCGGAUGAGUGGCUAAGCGAAAGUGAUAAGUAUCCCACCUGGGGAGUACGAACGCAAGUUUGAAACUCAAAGGAAUUGACGGGGGGCCCGCACAAGCGGUGGAGCAUGUGGUUUAAUUCGAUGAUACGCGAGGAACCUUACCAAGGCUUAAAUGUAGAUUGACAGGACUGGAAACAGUUUUUUUCUUCGGACAAUUUACAAGGUGCUGCAUGGUUGUCGUCAGCUCGUGCCGUGAGGUGUCAGGUUAAGUCCUAUAACGAGCGCAACCCCUGUUGUUAGUUGCCAGCGAGUCAAGUCGGGAACUCUAACAAGACUGCCAGUGUAAACUGUGAGGAAGGUGGGGAUGACGUCAAAUCAUCACGGCCCUUACGCCUUGGGCUACACACGUGCUACAAUGGCCGGUACAGAGAGCAGCCACUGCGCGAGCAGGAGCGAAUCUAUAAAACCCGGUCACAGUUCGGAUCGGAGUCUGC